AUACCCCUGGAAGGUUUGUGAUCCUUGAGUAUUUUUUUGAGCCAAUACACAGUAAUCGGGAGCCGCUUCCAACCGGAUGGUGUGCAGACCCAGUUUCUGGGGAGCCUGAUUCCGGAUAGCGGCGCCCACCUUGCCAAGCAAGGUUCAAAAAAGCUCUCGACACGGCCUUCCGGGGCAUUC
rnacentral:other from 1 species